CGGGUGAGUAACACGUGGAUAACCUACCUAUAAGACUGGGAUAACUUCGGGAAACCGGAGCUAAUACCGGAUAAUAUAUUGAACCGCAUGGUUCAAUAGUGAAAGACGGUUUUGCUGUCACUUAUAGAUGGAUCCGCGCCGCAUUAGCUAGUUGGUAAGGUAAUGGCUUACCAAGGCAACGAUGCGUAGCCGACCUGAGAGGGUGAUCGGCCACACUGGAACUGAGACACGGUCCAG
rnacentral:rRNA from 1 species